UCUCCGUUGGUGAACCAGCGGAGGGAUCAUUACCGAGUUUACAACUCCCAAACCCAAUGUGAACGUUACCAAACUGUUGCCUCGGCGGGGUCACGCCCCGGGUGCGUCGCAGCCCCGGAACCAGGCGCCCGCCGGAGGAACCAACCAAACUCCUUCUGUAGUCCCCUCGCGGACGUUAUUUCUUACAGCUCUGAGCAAAAAUUCAAAAUGAAUCAAAACUUUCAACAACGGAUCUCUUGGUUCUG
rnacentral:misc_RNA from 1 species